rnacentral:rRNA from 1 species
UCUNAANCCUUCUGAAACCCCCUCGGCNCACCCAGAAACCCUUUGUGAACUUAUACCUACUGUUGCCUCGGCGUAGGCCGGCUUCUUAUUAGAAGCCCCCUGGAGACAGGGAGCAGCCCGCCGGCGGCCAACCAAACUCUUGUUUCUAUAGUGAAUCUCUGAGUAAAAACAUAAAUGAAUCAAAACUUUCAACAACGGAUCUCUUGGUUCUGGCAUCGAUGAAGAACGCAGCGAAAUGCGAUAAGUAAUGUGAAUUGCAGAAUUCAGUGAAUCAUCGAAUCUUUGAACGCACAUUGCGCCCUCUGGUAUUCCGGAGGGCAUGCCUGUUCGAGCGUCAUUUCAACCCUCAAGCCUGGCUUGGUGAUGGGGCACUGCCUGUAAAAGGGCAGGCCCUGAAAUCUAGUGGCGAGCUCGCCAGGACCCCGAGCNGUAGUAGUUACAUCUCGCUCUGGAAGGCCCUGGCGGUGCCCUGCCGUUAAACCCCCAACUUCUGAAAAUUUGACCUCGGAUCAGGUANGAAUACCCGCUGAACUUAAGCAUAUCAAUAAGCGGAAGGA